rnacentral:misc_RNA from 1 species
GGAAGGAUCAUUCACAUUUUUAAGCACCAGUCUCGGCUGUUGUGCUUGUUGGUCCCAUUUUUCUAACAUUUCUAAUGUUAAAUCUCAAAAGAUUCAACAAUGGAUGCCUUGGCUUGGGGAUCGAAGAAGGACGCAGCAAAGCGCGAUAUUCGCUGUGAAAUGCAGAAUUCUGAGAAUCAAAAGAAAUCCUAACGCAACCUGCGUUGUAGUCACUUGUGAUUGCAACGAUUGUCCUUCAGUGUCGUUACCAAUUAGAUUUCAAUCUAAAUAUUGUGAUUUGGCGCCUCCAAGGAGGUACCAAUUUAUGGGGCUUCUUGCUUUGCUUGAGGCAUAAUUCUUGUCGGGAUCCUUGCAGUGAUCCUGUUUUAAAGAUCUGAAUGUUUGUUUUACAAUAAUUUUGGAUUUCUUUUCAACAUGUUCUUGCACUCCUGAUUUCUAUAAUACACUGACCUGAAGGGGAAUAGAUUACCCGCUGAAUUUAAGCAUAUUAUUAAGCGGAGGGAAAGAAACCAACUGGGAUAUCCUUAGUAACGGCGAGUGAAACGGAUCCUGAGCUCGGGGUAUUGAAUCUGCUGGUUGUAUUUCCAGCAGAGUUGUUGCCCUGGUGUUGCUUGACGCGUAACCUAUGCUAGGAAAAAAGCGGUUGGAAGACCGUGCCAAGGAGGGUGAGAGUCCCGUGUUUCCUGGUGUUCAGUUACCAACGUCUUGUAAUCGUAGAGUAGCGCUCUUCGGAACUAGAGUGUGAAAGGGUGGUAGCGUUCAUCCAAAGCUAAAUACUGCCCCAAGACCGAUAACAAACAAGUACCGUGAGGGAAAGGUUAAAAGAACUUUGGAAAGAGAGUUAAAAGUACCUGAAAUUGUUGAAUUUGAAGCUUGCAGUAGCUCUUUGAUCAGGGUAGUAUUAAUGAGCGUGUUACGUUUUUCAAGCAAUUGGAUUGCGUUUACACACAUAAGUUAGUAUUACUUUGGCUGAUGGCAAUUCUGGACUUUCCGCGCCCUGCUUUUUACUGCCGUUUGCUUGCAAUCAGCGGUAAAUUCAGUCAGCGUGCCUAGACUUGGAUUGUUUAUUUGCCGUUUUCCAUGAUUUGUAGGUUUUCAACUCCUGGUAGUUUGAUAUUCUCAUUCGACCUUGAGCGGGAGUCAUAUAUUUUGCUGGUUAAAGGCGUGAGUCAGCUGAAUUGGAGUUCUGCUGGGCCCGUCUUGAAACACGGACCAAGGAGUCUAACGUUUGUGCGAGUAUGUUGGUUAUAAACCUGCAUGCGUAGUGAAAGCAAUUGCUGCACUUGUGUAGCGUUACUAUGAUUUGAACAUCUGUUCGUUUAUAGGCAUUUGUGGCCAUUCUUGAUCCUCGGUGAUAGUCUGAGCCUGAGCACAGCCGUUGGGACCCGAAAGAUGGUGAACUAUGCUUGGACAGGGUGAAGCCAGGGGAAACUCUGGUGGAGGCUCGUAGCGUUACUGACGUGCAAAUCGUUCGUCGGAUCUGAGUAUAGGGGCGAAAGACUAAUCGAACCAUCUAGUAGCUGGUUCCUCU